CUGAAGCACAUAUUGUGUGUCUCUCUUCCUAUCUACUUCUCUCUAUAUGUCAUAUUUAUCGUUAAUUUCUCAAAUUCUUAUCAUGUGAAUUCUUAAUUGGGUGCUUGGCAUUUUUUCUGUAGAUUGAAUUUCAAAAUCUUCAUGAUAGGCCAAUUUCUUGCUAGUUAGUGUAAAUGUCACACAAUUUAUGUUUUGACACCUUAAACUUUCAACAAUUACAUUCCAAAUUUUAAGGCUUAAGUUUUUAUGUUCUUAAGCGUAAAGGAUACUUAUAACUGGUCCUUAAUAGUUUAUUUCAUAAGUGUAUUCCAGGGGUCACAAAAAGAGAGAUCUCUUUGAUGGUGAAAGUGAAUAUUCUGGAAGCUUUAAAUUAUCAGAUGGGGGUGAGCAAGGCAGAGAAACAAAAGCCUAAUCUUCAGAAAUCAAGGAUGUUCAUGAUGAUCAGGUGCUUACUUUUCUGUGUUUCCUUCUAAACCCAUGGUGGGGUUGAAGCAUGUGCAAUCUGAAAUUGAUAUGCUAGAAGAUCACAAGAGCAACUGCAGCAGAGUUAAGUAGACUAUUAUUAUUUAUUUGUUUUCCCUUUUUUUCAAGUGUUAAUUGCAUAUUUUCUCAUCAACAUAAUAGUGCUUAGUUCUAUUCGGAGGAAAGGGUCCAAGAAGAAGAUAGUUUAAAUUCCAAAAUUAAAGAGCUUGAUAUGUAAUUGUCCAUGUGGAAAGACGAGUGCAGAACGUAUUUCAUGGAUCAUCAUAGCCAAUCUUAACUAUUAACUUUUUCAGUUACACCCUUUUUUAUUUUUUACAUAUUCUAUUUUUCAUAUUUCAAAAUUUCCUCAAAAAUUAGGAAGUUUGUGAAGGCAAAUCAUCGCUACUCUAGGAUACAAGAUGAACUAAAGAGAUCACAAGCUAGGCUUGAAAGACUAGGGGAUCAGUUUGGUUUUGAUGGUAGAGCUGCUGCAAAUGAAGAGGAUAUUAGCAUUAAUAUAUUAAGUACUGAGGAAAAUGUAAGAAAUGUCUUAAUGAGCCCCAAAUAUCAUAAUAAGCCUAAGGGUUCACCAAGAAAGGAUGAGAUGUUAGGCAAACAUUUAAUGGGCCCGGUGAAGGAUCAAUAUAAGGAUUCUCCUAGCAAGAAAAGGAUGAGGGUUCACAUGGUAGAUGCUGAUGAAAAAAGAACACAUUCAUCGGUUUCCCUUGGGAGAUGAGGGAAAAUAUUGGUCUUCUAAAUUUGUAUUUCAAAAGCCAAAUGCAAUAACAAAACUGUAUUGGGUCAUAUCUAAAUUAUGCAUUGAAUGUUGUGGCAAUGGCCUCUAUUAUACAAGAUUAUAGUGAUUUAAUGUUGGAUUGACAUGACAAAGAACACAACAUAAUAGUCCUUCACAAUAUUUUUCAUCAAAGCUCCUAAAUAAACGCCAAUGUUGAUUGCGUCUCCAUUGGAUCUAUGCCCCUGUGCAACCAAAUCUAUGGAUCAAGAACUGUUUCUUUUCUAUAGGCUUAUAUAAAGGUCAAAUCUAUAGAUCAAGAACUGUUUCAAGGGUGUACUAUUGAAUUAUAGGAGGCAAUUGGUUGCAAUUGGAUAUGUGUUUCAUAUGUUAUAGUUAUUUUAUUUCUAACUAUAAAGGUUAAUUUGGUCAUUGUUUUAUUGUAUGAAAAUAAUGUAGAAUUGUUGUAUGUGUUACCGAUGACAAUUGUUUUUUUUCCUUAAAAUA